rnacentral:rRNA from 1 species
GACGAACGCUGGCGGCGUGCUUAAUACAUGCAAGUCGAGCGAGGUUACUGUUUCGGAGCCCUUCGGGGUGAAGAAGCUUUAACCUAGCGGCGGACGGGUGAGUAACGCGUGGGUAACCUACCCCAAAGUCCGGGAUAACAGCGGGAAACCGCUGCUAAUACCGGAUGCCUUUACCUUGGGGCAUCUUGAGGUAAAGAAAGGUAACGCUUUGGGAUGGGCCCGCGUCCCAUUAGCUAGUUGGUGAGGUAACGGCUCACCAAGGCGACGAUGGGUAGCCGGCCUGAGAGGGUGGACGGCCACACUGGGACUGAGACACGGCCCAGACUCCUACGGGAGGCAGCAGUAGGGAAUAUUGCGCAAUGGACGGAAGUCUGACGCAGCGACGCCGCGUGAGCGAUGAAGGUCUUCGGAUCGUAAAGCUCUGUCCUUGGGGAAGAAGGCGAAAGCUUGACGGUACCCAAGAAGAAAGCCCCGGCUAACUACGUGCCAGCAGCCGCGGUAAUACGUAGGGGGCGAGCGUUGUCCGGAAUUACUGGGCGUAAAGGGUGCGUAGGCGGCCCUUUAAGUCGGAUGUGAAAGCCCGCGGCUUAACCGCGGAAUGGCAUUCGAAACUGGAGGGCUUGAGUGUCGGAGAGGGUAGUGGAAUUCCCAGUGUAGCGGUGAAAUGCGUAGAUAUUGGGGAGGAACACCAGUGGCGAAGGCGACUACCUGGACGAUAACUGACGCUGAGGCACGAAAGCUAGGGGAGCAAACAGG